rnacentral:sRNA from 1 species
GCUGGGUGUGAUGGCACACACCUGUAGUCCCAGCUACUCAGAAGUCUGAGGCAGGAGGAUUGCAAGUUCCAGGUCAGCCUCAGCAACAUAGUGAAACCUUGCCUUAA